AUUGAACGCUGGCGGCAGGCCUAACACAUGCAAGUCGAGCGGAUGAAGGGAGCUUGCUCCUGGAUUCAGCGGCGGACGGGUGAGUAAUGCCUAGGAAUCUGCCUGGUAGUGGGGGAUAACGUCCGGAAACGGGCGCUAAUACCGCAUACGUCCUGAGGGAGAAAGUGGGGGAUCUUCGGACCUCACGCUAUCAGAUGAGCCUAGGUCGGGUUAGCUAGUUGGUGGGGUAAAGGCCUACCAAGGCGACGAUCCGUAACUGGUCUGAGAGGAUGAUCAGUCAAACUUGAACUGAGGCACGGGCCAGACUCCUACGGGAGGGAGGCGUGGGGAAUAUUGGACAAUGGGCGAAAGCCUGAUCCAGCCAUGCCGCGUGUGUGAAGAAGGUCUUCGGAUUGUAAAGCACUUUAAGUUGGGAGGAAGGGCAGUAAGUUAAUACCUUGCUGUUUGACGUUACCAACAGAAUAAGCACCGGCUAACUUCGUG
rnacentral:rRNA from 1 species